GACGAACGCUGGCGGCGUGCUUAACACAUGCAAGUCGAACGAAGAGCGAUGGAAGCUUGCUUCUAUCAAUCUUAGUGGCGAACGGGUGAGUAACGCGUAAUCAACCUGCCCUUCAGAGGGGGACAACAGUUGGAAACGACUGCUAAUACCGCAUACGAUCUAAUCUCGGCAUCGAGGAUAGAUGAAAGGUGGCCUCUACAUGUAAGCUAUCACUGAAGGAGGGGAUUGCGUCUGAUUAGCUAGUUGGAGGGGUAACGGCCCACCAAGGCGAUGAUCAGUAGCUGGUCUGAGAGGAUGAACGGCCACAUUGGGACUGAGACACGGCCCAGACUCCUACGGGAGGCAGCAGUGGGGAAUCUUCCGCAAUGGACGAAAGUCUGACGGAGCAACGCCGCGUGAGUGAUGACGGCCUUCGGGUUGUAAAGCUCUGUUAAUCGGGACGAAAGGCCUUCUUGCGAACAGUUAGAAGGAUUGACGGUACCGGAAUAGAAAGCCACGGCUAACUACGUG
rnacentral:rRNA from 1 species